UUUUUUUAGGGGGUGUGCAGACAGGCAGGCUGGCUAUGAAAGAUCAAGGCACAGCAUCUUUAUGAACUCUUGGAGUCGGACUCUUGGAGCCGUUACAGUAGCUGACAUCCCGCUGCCUUAAUUACAGCAGACGUGAAAAAAAAAGAAAAGAAAAAAAAAAAGCUCCGAUUUCCAGCCUGUGAAGCAGGCGUCCUCCCCCGACUCUCGUCGUCUCCUUCUCACCCGAGGCGCGGGGGCCUUUGAGGAGAAGUGAAGUGGGGAAAAAUGUUGGCGGUAGCAAAGUGAUACGGAGCAGGACACUUAUAUAUACACACACACACACACACACACAUAGAGAUGAAGUGGAGAGCGAGUAAGACCAGGAGGAGCAAAGCUAUUUUGCACCAUUUGGCAGCCGAGACCAACGCCUGCCUAAAAAUACUCUGUACCCGAGGUUGUCAACUUUCAGCUGGGUCAGACAGAAAAAAUAAUUGUGCGCAUGUGAGAGCGAGAGAGCGUGUGUGUUUACGAUAAGGCCGAAAACCACCAGUCAGCUGCUCAUGUAUUCAGUAUAGUAGUAGUAGUAGUAGUAUUGCACGUUUUCACACAGUUGUGAAACCACUGGUUUUGCACCCGUACUACUUUGUCUCUCUCUCUCUCCCGGUCACACAAACACACGCACAAACCGAGGCCCUGACAUUGCUGGCAUUGCCUGUCCUUUAAAAAGCCGGCCAUCCUUACUCUAAUUCGGGAGGAAUGAAGGUGCGGCCGGCAUUCCCAUUAGUACGGAUUUGUUAAUGUUGCCCUGCGGCGGAGGCCGUGCGGUCGUCCCCGGCAGUUUGCGUGGCCUGGAUGUGAUUACCAGCCCUUUUGUCACCCCGUUCCACUGCAGUUUGUGGGGCCCGUCCAUUUCCACCAGAUGUGAGUGACCACGGACCCGCCAGGCCGAGCCCGAACCCACCGCCCAUGGAAAAAUAAGCGGUGGCGUCUGGUAUGCAGGCUGAUUUCUCCCUUCACUGGCUGCACAGAAGAGGAGGAGGAGGAGGAGGAAGAAUUUGUGUAGUCCUGCUGUGGCGCCAUCCCGCCUGAAGCGAAGGCCCGAGUCCCCGAGUAAGAGACCUGGGAGACGGCGACUUCUUCCCGGCUGAUCCGUCAACUCGUCCCCUGCGUGAGACCUUCCCACGUAGCCACUAGCCUGAGCUGCACUGGUUGCCAUGUUCACUGCGGGGACCUCACACUCUCCGUCUAACGUGCCGAUACUAUGUGCGCUGGGAUUUCCAAACUUUUCCACCUCCUGGGGGCAAAGCUGCUGCAGUGAGUGUAAGAAGCCUGCUGUUACUGACGCACUACGUAAUGUAAAAUGUGCAUCGUCUCACUGCAAGAUUACAAGUUGCGAGUUGAGGGCUUGUUAGUGUCGCUGACUGACGUGUUGCUUUACAGUGAAGUGCAAAAUGCCGAUUCCUCAUUAUCUGGACGGAAUUAGACCUUUGCUUUGCCAGGCGGGUGGAGAAGGACAUUGAGGAAGUGUAUGAUUUUGUGCACAGAAACGAUCUUUCGGUCGGCAUUUUUAGCAUUUGGACUCGGGCUUCCCACAAUCUUGGCAAGUUGAAUCUGUGUCAUCCUCCUACACUUAAAAUACACGCUCGCAAGAGCAAAUGUGGCCCUUCGUGGCCGAAGGAACUUUUGUUUCAAGAUCUUAUUUGAUGCUAUAACUUUUUUGUUUUGUGUAUAUUGUGUCUCAGGGUUUGUUUUGUUUUUUUGUGUAUUCAUUCAAAGUAGAGUUCCUUCUGCUAACUUCUUUUCUUUUGAAUGUACCAUUUUGUGCUAAACCGUUUAACAUGGAUCUGUUAUUUUAGAUGAUUGUUUUGUCAAGUGUAAAAGUAUCUGUACGUUUAAUGGCAUCGGUUGUAUUUAUACAUAUGUAAUAUUGCCAAAACCCAAAUGGCUAAUCUUGGCCAUGAUGGAUUUAAAUAACAAACUGUGUCCAAAGUAGUAAGAAGUUCUCGCUAUAUCAUUUUUUUAUUGUAUAUUUCAGGAUUGUUAACAGAAGUCUUUUUUGUUAAUAGUUUGUAUUUGCUUUGUAACACAUUUGUAGACGCCUUUGAUUUGCACAUUUUGUACGAACGAAAACUCUUAAUGGUCUUAAUUUUGUACCUUUUGUCUUAACCCAGCCGGGGUAGUGUGAAUAAUCAGUGCAGCAAAUGAUCAAUUUGUUCCUCUUUGAACAAUCCUCAUUUGCCCUGCAGCUUUCCAAUAUAUCAAAUACACUGUUAUAUUAAGCUAUUACUGAUAAACCAUGUUCUACAGUUCACCACUCAAUAAAUAUCUUUAAAACAUAAAACAAACGUUGUUUUAUCCUUAUUUUCCAAGGAAUGAUGGGAAUUCAGCAGCC
ensembl:lncRNA